CUACUGUAUGUAAGUAGCAAGAUGUCACAGACAUCCUGUGGAUAUGGCUGCUAAAAGCAAACUGCCUAAGACAUCCAGGCACGGCAGCUCACACCUGUCAUCCCAACACUUUGGGAAGCUGAGCAGGAGGGCUGUUGAGUCCAGCAGUCUGGGCAACAUAAAGAGACCCUGUCUCUACAAAAAAAAAAAAAAAUUUACAUUAGCUGGACAUGGUGCUGCAUGUCUGUAGUCUCAGCUUCUCAGGUGGCUGAGGUGGGAGGAUCACUCGAGCCCAGGAGGUUGAGGCUGUAGUGAGCUGAGUUCACACCACUGCAUUCCAGCCUGGGCUACAGAGUGAGAUCCUGUCUCAAAAAAUAAAAAGUUAAAAAAAUUCUAAGCCCAGUGUGGACAGACGAAUGUAACACUAACUUUCUCACGCGCCGAAGCCUCCGUGUGCAAACCUUGCCAUCGCUUGCCACCAGGGAGGCCUGUGUUUUAGCACUCGGCUGCUAAAGAACAUGUGGACGUUUGUAACAUCCACUGCAUUUGCUCAUAGGGACAAUCACGUAACAGGUUCCAGCCACCCCAGGCUGCCCACUCUGUCAUCUGUGGCAGGAUGUAGCAUUCGCCGGGGUGUCCAACAAUUAGAAGUUGCUGAAAGGCAGCCUGAGCGUCCAUGGACCUGGCCUUCAUUUCCAGAACCCUCGUGCGUGCCUCUGUCUGCCUCCAAAUGCAGUCGGUUCUCAGCCUGAAAGAAGGAAGCUCUGCUUCACCAGGUCCACUGUGAUGCUGCCCAGAUGAGAAGCCAGUGGAGACGCUCUGCUUGCCAGCACUCAGCCCUGCCUGACAGGGCCUCCCAACGCCUGUCACUAAAAAACAGGGGCCGGGGAGUACCUGGGCACUGCUCCAUCUUGUCGGGGCCAGCAGAGAACAGGCAGCAGCAUGCAGCCCUGGAUCUGUCAGGGGUUCACACCUGCUGAGAGGAGCCUGGUCCACAGAGGGGAGGCCAGGGGCAGAGCGCCCAGUACUCGGACAGCCUUGCCCAAGCAUCCUUGAAGGCCAGUGUUCUAGAAGAACAAAGCUGCCUCGUGAAUAAUGAAAAGCUGAUAAAAGCAGAAAAUAACAAGAUAAUGGCCAGCAUGAUGAAAAGUGAUCACCUGGCUGGGCAUGGUGGCUCAUGCCCGUAAUCCCGGCACUUUGGGAGGCUGAGAUGGAUGGAUCACCUGAGGUCGGGAGUUCAAGACCAGCCUGGCCAACAUGGUAAAACCCCAUCUCUACUAAAAAUACAAAAAUUAGCCUGGUGUGGUGGUGGGCACCUGUAAUCCCAGUUACUUGGGAGACUGAGGCAGGAGAAUCACUUGAAUCCAGAAGGUGGAGGUUGCGGUGAGCCGAGAUCACACCACUGCACUCCAGCCUGGGCGACAGAGUGAGACUCCCUCAGAAAUAAAAAAGAAAGAAAGAAAAGAAAAGAAAGAAAAAUAUCGCCUGUAGUAUGUUCAAAUAUCUCAACCCAUGAAAACCAAACAGGAGCCGCGUGAGCCCAACAGAGAAGCAACUCGGCAACUGUGCUUGCUGCCGCCUGGUCACUCCUGGUUGCUGUGCCCUUCGGGAGAAGCAGAUCUGGUCCUCGCCUUCCUCUCUCUCUACGAUGCUUGUCACGGUCCUGCCGGAGGCUCUUUCUCACUGCACCAAGCUGCAGUUUCCAAAUAAAUGAUUACACCACCAUUGGCUCACAGUGGCAGAGUGUCAGGGUGGAUAAGCAGUGCGAGGGGCUUCACGAUCGCUCUAAGUCUUCAUCAGACAAUAUUCCAGUGGCUGCAACCCUUUAUCUUAAGCAUGUCAUUCCUAAUUUCCCACCGCAGAUCCCUCCACAGCACUUCAUAUCGUUCUCACGUGCAGGACACA
ensembl:lncRNA